rnacentral:rRNA from 1 species
UUAUAUGGAGAGUUUGAUCCUGGCUCAGGACGAACGCUGGCGGCGUGCCUAAUACAUGCAAGUCGAGCGGACGGAUGGGAGCUUGCUCCCAGACCGUCAGCGGCGGACGGGUGAGUAACACGUGGGCAACCUGCCUGUAAGACUGGGAUAACUCCGGGAAACCGGGGCUAAUACCGGAUAACUCUUUUCCUCACAUGAGGAAAAGCUGAAAGAUGGCAUCUCGCUAUCACUUACAGAUGGGCCCGCGGCGCAUUAGCUAGUUGGU